rnacentral:rRNA from 1 species
GACGAAGGGCGCGGGUGUUAUUCGUUUUGAUUGGGUGUAAAGGGUACGUAGGCGGCUUCCUGUUUUUUGGCUAAAAGGGCAGAGAGUUCCUGUGCAGGUAGCCUUCUAAAAUGGAAUCUAGCGUUGGACAGAGGUUAGCACAAUUUCUCAAGUAGGGGUAGAAUGCGCCGAUAUGAGAAGGAAUGGCAGUGGCGAAGGCGUCUUUCCAGGUCCAACGGACGCUAAAGUACGGAAGCUUAGGGAGCAAACAGG